CACGUAGGGUGCAAGCGUUGUCCGGAAUUAUUGGGCGUAAAGGGCUCGUAGGCGGUCCGUCACGUCGGGAGUGAAAACUCGGGGCUCAACCCCGAGCCUGCUUUCGAUACGGGCGGACUAGAGGUAGGUAGGGGAGAACGGAAUUCCUGGUGUAGCGGUGGAAUGCGCAGAUAUCAGGAGGAACACCGGUGGCGAAGGCGGUUCUCUGGGCCGAUACUGACGCUGAGGAGCGAAAGCGUGGGGAGCGAACAGG
rnacentral:rRNA from 1 species